CCCUUAGAUGUCCUGGGCCGCACGCGCGCUACACUGAUGCAUUCAACGAGUUUUACCUUGGCCGAGAGGCCUGGGCAAUCUUUUAAACCUGCAUCGUGAUAGGGAUAGAUUAUUGCAAUUAUUAAUCUUGAACGAGGAAUUCCUAGUAAACGCAAAUCAUCAAUUUGCAUUGAUUACGUCCCUGCCCUUUGUACACACCGCCCGUCGCACCUACCGAUUGAACGGUCCGGUGAAGCCUCGGGAUUGUGGCCAGUUCACUUUAUUGGGAGUUGGCUGUGAGAACUUGUCUAAACCUUAUCAUUUAGAGGAAGGUGAAGUCGUAACA
rnacentral:rRNA from 1 species